rnacentral:rRNA from 1 species
GACGAACGCUGGCGGCGUGCUUAACACAUGCAAGUCGAACGGAAAGGCCCCUUUGGGGGUACUCGAGUGGCGAACGGGGGAGUAACACGUGAGUAACCUGCCCUUGACUUCGGGAUAACUUCAGGAAACUGGGGCUAAUACCGGAUAGGAAUCCUUGCUGCAUGGUGGGGGUUGGAAAGCUUCGGCGGUUUUGGAUGGACUCGCGGCUUAUCAGCUUGUUGGUGGGGUAGUGGCUUACCAAGGCUUUGACGGGUAGCCGGCCUGAGGGGGCGACCGGCCACCUUGGGACUGAGAUGCGGCCCAGACUCCUACUGGAGGCAGCAGUGGGGAAUCUUGCACGAUGGGCGGAGGCCUGAUGCAGCAACGCCGCGUGCGGGAUGACGGCCUUCGGGUUGUAAACCGCUUUCAGCAGGGGCGAAGCUUGUGGUGACGGUACCUGCAGAAGAAGCACCGGCUAACUACGUG